CAAAAUUUUAUUCUGAUUAUAUUAAAAUAUGAAAUAUUAUAAUUUAAAAUUAUACAUUUUUAAUUAUCUUGCUUUAAUGUUUUCAUGCAUAGAAUAUUAGCAUUAAUCGAUAUAAAGAAAACAUAAUUGCAUUAAAAAAAGAUAUGUCAUACAUACAUUAAAAGCAUUAUAUCAUUUUAAACAAAUUUAUUGAUUGUUUAAUCACAUUAUACGCAAAUGCAACUUUAAAGAUCAAAGUUCCAUUUAUGCAUGCGAUUGUUUAAUCGAUAAACUAAAAAAUUUACCUUUUUCGUAUUAAGCAGUUUCAUGUCGAUAAAAUUAUCUGUCAAAAAUUUGUUAUGCAAUGUACUUAAAAGUAAAAUAUUAUUAAAUUUAAAUAAAAUAAAAAUAAAACAAAAACAAAUUAAAAUGUCGAUAAUAAUAAAGGAUAUGUCUUCCAAAAAGAAAUCGAAAUUAUGCUGGAACGACAUGGAAGAGCUAAAGUAUUUGAUAUGUACUAUUGACGAUAGCAAAUCCUCAAGCGUUUCACCACCAGCGUCGUGUAGUAUAAUUCUACCCCCGAGAAUCGAAGAAAUUCCUUGCAAGAGUUCAUCCCGAAGACCGCCUUGUGUUCCACCACCUCGAUGUUGUCCGGUAACACCUGGACCUUGUUGCUCUUGGCUCUUAACACCCCCGAUAUUUCCAGUUAGUUUACUUCAACCACCUUCACUAUCGAAUCCGUAUUGCAGUCCUUGUGGUCCACUACCAUGUUAUUUCAACGAGUAGAAGAAUCAAGAAACUCGUGAAAGAAGGAAAAAAGCAUACAAAAUUAACACAUUAAUUACCACAUCUUUUACAUAGAGACAUCAAUUUCAUAAAAAAUUUUCAGAAAGCCAAACAUGGUUUUUUUAAUAAUUUAUUUUCUUUUUGCUUCCUAAAUAUUUAAUUUCUUGAAAAAUUUUUAUGAAAUUGUAUGCCAUUCAUAAAUGACGUGACAAAUGUGUUAAUACAUUGUACAUUUAUUUUAACUUAUGUCAGCUUGUAAUAGGCAACGAUAAGUAAGAUCAGAAAAAACCUUUCUUAGCAGAGAAAUAAAAGAAAGAAAUUUAUUACAAAUCUAUAUAAAACAUUCACAUUUUACUCGAUUUUAACGGAAGGUCCAUACGUACGGCCGACAGGUUUCUAAUCAAAAUAUCGGACAUCUUUUCUUCUUUUUUUUUUUUCGAGAAACCGAACUUGAUACAACCACGGCGGUAGUCCACUUCGACAUCAUAGAAUACAUAAUACCGAUGGUUGCUUCUCUCGCAGGAUUGUAUGAUAUGUUCCAAAUAAAAGCGUCACUACUAUUUUUAUGCAAUACAAACAAGACCACAUUCGUACUUCACACGCAUGAGUUCUAUCACGGUCUAAAUCAGAUAUCGAUGCCUGAAGCUAUUUUGCCUACGAAAUGAUUUGCUUGGUCGAUUGUAUUUGUUGAUCCCACCCCCGCAAUAGAGAUGCCAUAUUCGUGCACUGCUUCCGAUAUAAGCGAACGUAUUCUUUUAACAGAUACGCUCUCUUUUCAGUCAUUCAAAUUAUUCAAUCGAAGGAUUUAUGCAUCGCAGAUUUCGGCGAAGCAGUUUCUUUCCGUUCAAAAGAUUGCUGUUACGAAUCUCCGUGUCUUUCGUUUCUCUUGAUCAAAUAAAUUUUAUCCGGUGCGAAUCCAUAUCAUUGAUCUAUUACCACAAUUGUUCGUCCUACGAGAGAUAGUUAAAAUGUCUGUACAAAUUAGUAUUUUUUACAAUUAAUUUUCCAGCAAACAUGAUGAUAUAUUAAAGGUGUCAAAAAUAUGUAUUUAUUAUGAUCACUGACGUCAAGUUAUCCACAAUGUACGUCUUUAUUAAUAUAUCUUUUUAAUUACGCUCCACUAUCACGUCCAUAUAUCGUUUCAAAUAUGUCGUGAUGUAAUUUGCAUAAUGUAAAAAUUAUGUCACUACAUAACUUGUUUUAUAUAAAAGGUAGAAGACUUUAGAGGUAGAAGAAUAUUUUAUUAAUAUAUAUAUUCAAUAUUAUGUUUAAACAAUAACAAAAAAGUUAUCCUAAAUGUUACUCCGCUCAUUUACUACAUUUAUGAUUCUUGAAUUGUCUACAAAAAAAGAAAAUUUUUAUGAAAAUUUAAUUCACAUAUCGAGAGAGUGAAGAAUUAAUAGUACUUUACAUUUCUUUAUAAUCGGUAGACCACAUCGUUACAUAAUUGCAUUAAAAAAAUAUUACAAAAUUUUAAUAAUUUAAGAUAUUUAAAUUCUGGUGAACAGUUUUUUUUAGUUAUGUUGUUGUUGUAACAAAUGAGCGAUAUGCAAAAAUUGUUAAAAAUUUAUGUUCACUUUGUUUCUAACUUUAUGUUCACAUUUAUUUAGAAAAAGAAUUAUUUUUUGACAACUUUAUUGAACUAAUCUAUCCCGGAUAUGUAUCCAUUAACAUCAAAUGUUUAUGGAUUAUAGAUCAUGAAAUGUCGGUUGCCAUAUGAUCACAGAGAUCAAGUAACGUUGAUAGUGUUAUCCUAGACAGGUGAUUGCUAGAUAUGAGUUUGACUUGGGAAGGAUGACCACUUGGGAAUCAUGAAUUCUUUUUCCCGAAUCUUUUUUUGUUCAUAAUUUUGUCGUGUGUAUUUCUGAAAUGUGAUACUAAUCAAUAAAAUUUAUUUUACUUUAACGUAUAUAUCUAUUGUCGAAAAUAUCGUCUUUCAGACGAACUUAAAUAAUAUUAGUACAUAGCAUUUUGAUGUCAUUUAUAAGUUUUUACGGUUCCACAUUAAUUCACGUUAGUUUUUGGUCAUUAUUGACGAAAAAGUCACGAUAAAUUGACAUCAUCAUGUUUGUUGGGUUCUGGCUCUCGAGGUAGCAAAGCGAUUGAUUUUCCUUAUUAGCUGAUAUCAUUAUGCCAUUGUUAUUAUUAUCAUUACUACUAACAUGCUGAUUUAUAAACAUUAAUAAUCUACAUUAUUGGCCACAUUGUUGGCUUAUUUAUAAUUCGGAGAAGUAACGAACUUACAGUAAUUUUUCAAGUAGACCGUUAGCGUACAUACAUAGCACAAAUACGAUGUGCAACAUUGAAAUCUUUGCAGAAUUUUCUUUCUGAAACGUCAGAAUUAAUUUUCAAUCUCAAAACCGCAUUAUCGCAAAUUACAUUCGUCUGUUCGCGUGAGCUUAUAACAGCUCGGCCCAUAUCAGAGUAAAGUAUUUGCAUCUCGUAAAUAUAAUUCUUAUCACACGCCCCGUUUUAUUAUCGGUAACUUUAUUUCCGAUAUUAUAUCGCGUUGCACCGUUAUCCUAUUUUAGCGUCACAUUGUCCUCGUGAUAAGUCACAAUUUCACGCGAUGGCGUAUUAUUAUUAGGGAAAAAAACUUGUUCGAAACGAAAUGUAUCUCUGCGCGCAGGUAGGAGAGUAACGUCGAAGCUUUCAUAAAAUUAUUACUUCAAAGUUUAUAUACUACACAUAUACAUGUAUGUAUGUUUCAUUUUAAGAGGAUUACCAAACUGCUCAGUGAGAAAAUUUUGAGGAUGGAAUGGAAAAAAAACAUUUUAACGUAUUUAUUAUAUUUAUUUAUACUAUUUUACACCUCUAUAAAAGACUGAAUUAAGAACGAAAUUUUCUCAAUUUCUAUCUUCCAUAUAAAAUAUUUACCAUUGCGAAACUCUUCAUCUUGGAUUAUGCUUGCAUAACUUCUACAGACUUGAUCUAAACCUAAUUAUAAAAUUAUACAAAACCUAAAUAUUUUGUACACGUAUUAUUUAUAGAAACUUGGUAAAAGCAAAUCUUAACAUUUUUGGUUUUUAAAUAAAAUUAUGACCUUUCUCCAAUUCUUUGAAAUUAGAUAUAUUUUUUAAAAGGUUACAGUAUUUGUAGAAAGUUAAAAUGUUAAGUUCUUUCUUCAUUAUGUUUAAAAAAUAUUACGUAUCUAAAAAAAUUUGGAUUUUACUUCAGAUUAAUCUUUUUG